ACGCUCGACACCUACUGGAGGCAGCAGUGGGGGAAUAUUGCACAAUGGGGGAAACCCUGAUGCAGCAACGCCGCGUGAAGGAAGACGGUUUUCGGAUUGUAAACUUCUGUUCUUAGUGAAGAUAGUGACGGUAGCUAAGGAGCAAGCCACGGCUAACUACGUGCCAACAGCCGCGGUAAUCUGAGCGGGCUGGCAAGGC
rnacentral:rRNA from 1 species